GCCCAGAUGAUAAGUUAAACAUUUGGCGAAUGUAAAUAAAAAUGGGUGGAUGCUCCGCUCCAAACUGCUCGAACUCUACAACUAUUGGAAAGCAGCUAUUUCGCUUUCCGAAAGACCCCGUGCGCAUGAGAAAGUGGCUUGUAAACUGUCGGCGUGAUUUUGUACCGACUCCCUGCUCCAGACUGUGCCAGGACCACUUUGAAGAAAGCCAGUUUGAGGAGAUCGCCAGAUCACCAGCAGGGGGAAGGAAACUCAAACCCAACGCAAUCCCCACACUGUUCAAUGUACCCGACCCUCCCUCUCCUGUCACCCCUCAAGUAGUGUUACCUAUUAAAAAUGAGCCAGUGGAAAAGGACUUAAACAUGGGGGACCAUGGAUAUGCCCGCCGACAGCCACCUGUGGAUUCAGAGGAGGAUGGGGUUCAGAGGACAGACGAGGAGCGACCCUGUUCUCUCUGCCAACAUUAUAAAACCAAACUGGAGCAACAACAGCAACACAAAGUCAGACUACAGAGAGAGGUAACAUUCAUU
rnacentral:lncRNA from 1 species